rnacentral:rRNA from 1 species
GAGUUUGAUCGUGGCUCAGGACGAACGCUGGCGGCGUGCUUAAUACAUGCAAGUCAACGAGAAACAGGGUGCUUGCAUCCUGUGGACAGUGGCGCACGGGUGCGUAACACGUAGGUAAUCUGCCCUUAGGACUGACAUAACUCCGGGAAACCGAAGCUAAUAUCAGAUAAUGCAGCGGCUCGGCAUCGAGACAGUUGUUAAAUCUUCGGAGCCUAAGGAUGAACCUGCGUCCCAUUAGGUAGUUGGUGAGGUAAAUGCUCACCAAGCCUGCGAUGGGUAGCUGGUCUGAGAGAAUGAUCAGCCACACUGGAACUGAGACACGGUCCAGGCUCCUACGGGAGGCAGCAGUAAGGAAUAUUGCUCAAUGGGAGAAAUCCUGAAGCAGCAACGCCGCGUGGAGGAUGAAGGCAUAUUUGUUGUAAACUCCUGUAAGAAGGGAAAAAUGGGUCUGUUUACAGACUUUGAUUGUACCUUCAGAGUAAGCCCCGGCUAACUACGU